AACGAACGCUGGCGGCAGGCUUAAAACAUGCAAGUCGAACGCCCCGCAAGGGGAGUGGCAGACGGGUGAGUAACGCGUGGGAACAUACCCUUUUCUACGGAAUAGCUCUGGGAAACUGGAAGUAAUUCCGUAUACGCCCUACGGGGGAAAGGUUUAUCUGGGAAGGAUGAACCCGCGUAAGAUUAGCUAGUUGGGGAGGUAAUGGCUCACCAAGGCGACGACAUUUAGCUGGUCUGAGAGGAUGAUCAGCCACACUGGGACUGAGACACGGGCCAGACUCCUACGGGAGGCAGCAGUGGGGAAUAUUGGACAAUGGGCGCAAGCCUGAUCCAGCCAUGCCGCGUGAGUGAUGAAGGCCUUAGGGUUGUAAAGCUCUUUCAGUAGGGAAGAUAAUGACGGUACCUACAGAAGAAGCCCCGGCUAACUUCGUGCCAGCAGCCGCAGUAACAC
rnacentral:rRNA from 1 species